UCAAGUUGCACCUACAAAAAACGCCCACAGGACAUCCUAAUGGAGUUUGUCUAACAGAGGAGCAGUAACUUAUCUCAGUGCUGGAAGACAGAAAUCUUUGGCGAUGUAAAAGCAGAUGACCAGUCCUGCUGUUGUUGAAGUCUGUGACAAGAAGUUUGGGAGUGGCCAAAUAAUCUCCCUCUGUCAGAACAACACAUUGCACAUCCUUAUUCUCAGACCUAGUCUUAGCAGAAAAUGCCUGUACUUAACCUUUAUUUUAGGUGACCUAACUUGCCAUAACAAGCGCUUGCGUCUUUAUUUAGCAUCCUAUUCUCGUUACCCAUCCCAACGUGGUUUUGCAAAUGUUAAAUGUAAUUAUACAACAUUAAGAAAAGAAUGGAGACCAACCAACCAGAAGGGAAUCUGCCAGUUAGUGUCUGAAUUUAAGUCACUGCAGUCAUCUGGUGGCUUCUAUUAUACUUAAUCCAGGCCAUCAGUCACUGCAGGUCACAAGAGUAGUCAUCAUAGGCCAAUUUAACAUUAGCAACCUCCCACUGAAAUAGUAAAGUUAUACAAGGACAAAAGUCCUCCCCAGCCUAACGUGACACCCACUGUAAUGAGCUAAAAGCAUUCCUAUGACUGACUGGACAACGUGUGGCUGCCAGUUCUCUGUCAGAGGAAGGUUAAGCUUGGUUUCCAAUGAAGACAACGACAUGUUUUCUUGAUUAAAUAGAAGAUUAUAGCAACAUACUUUUAAACACCUAUAAAUCUGCAAGGAAUGAGUUUACUUUGGGAAGUGCAGCUGGCUCAUGGGCUAUUUAAGCUACUUUAUGACUUAUCUUUAAUGCACCAAAAAAUUCUACCCUACAACCAGCCUGAAUGUUGUUACGAGGCAAUGAACUCAAGAUGACAUAGGAUCAGGCAGACAACUUCCCACUGACAUAUUAAUGGACAGUAUAAGAAGAGGAAGGUCACUGGAGGACAUAUCAGAAGCAGUCCCCUCAUUUGGAAUAAGUAUGUCUCAUUGCAACAGGACACUGCCAUCCCAUCCGCAUCCCAUUCAGCUGAUGCCACCUCCCAAAAAAGCCACUAACGCUUCUGGCUCGACUGUUUUGCUGAUAAGUACCAUGAAGGGCAUCUUAAACUGGCUGUGCAACUGGUUAACCACCAAACUCAGCGCAUCCGAGCAAGCUCUUCCACCCCAUUCCAAACACAGUGAGGACCACAUGCAUCCCUAAAGCAGUGCAAAGCAUCACUCUGAGGCGGAACUAGUCAGCACAACUGGAAGCAGCAAUUUAAAAAAAAAAAAAAAGUUUAGAACUUCAUGAAACAAGACACACUGUGUUGGGAGGCCUUUUCUCCUUGGGACUCUAUAGCCCUUCCAAACCUGCUGUAGUCCCUUUCUUCAGAUGCCUGAAGGCAGACUUGAUGGAAUGUCUCACUUCCAAACUCCGUUAAGGUGUCUGAUUUCAAGCUGAAAAUACCAACAAAAGGGAAAAUGUCCCUAAAGUCAAAAUCUAUAGCAUCUUUAUGAGAAGCAGGUUUGGUAUUGUUCUGCCAUCAAACCUUUUAGGAAAAAUCCUGCUGUAGACAAAUGACAAAUGGCCACCUGGAUUGCAGAAUCUGUCUCCUGCAAAAGGUAUGUGUCUGCUUCUUGCCUUCAAAUUUGCUUUUUGUUAAUCUGGAUGUAGCGGUACUCUGUGAGUGGAGCAGGCGACAGUUCUGUGCGCAGUACUGCUUUCAGCAUGCUAUUUGGUGUCACACUGAGGUGUGCACAGCUUAGCACUGCACCCCG